GCUGGGCAUGGUGGUGCACACCUGUAAUCCCAGUGACUUGGGAGGCUGAGGCAGGAGGAUCAAAGCCAGCCUCAG
rnacentral:sRNA from 1 species